AGAGUUUGAUCAUGGCUCAGGACGAACGCUGGCGGCGUGCUUAACACAUGCAAGUCAAGGAGAACAUUUCCUUCGGGAAAUUAUUAAACUGGCGAACGGGUGAGUAACGCGUAGGCAACCUGCCCUAGAGAUUGGGAUAACUCCGGGAAACCGGUGCUAAUACCGAAUAAUGCAGCGGAUCCUUCGGGAUACAGUUGUUAAAGCGGGCUUCGGCUCGCACUUUAGGAUGGGCCUGCGUCCGAUUAGCUUGUUGGUAGGGUAACGGCUUACCAAGGCGAUGAUCGGUAGCUGGUCUGAGAGGAUGAUCAGCCACACUGGGAUUGAGAUACGGCCCAGACUCCUACGGGAGGCAGCAGUGGGGAAUUUUGCGCAAUGGGGGAAACCCUGACGCAGCAACGCCGCGUGACCGAUGAAGCUUCUAGGAGCGUAAAGGUCUGUCGUAAGGGAAGAAAAGUUUGGAUGUAAAUAAUGUUUGAACCUGACGGUACCUUACAAGAAAGCACCGGCUAACUUAGUGCCAGCAGCCGCGGUAAUACUAGGGGUGCGAGCGUUGUCCGGAAUUAUUGGGCGUAAAGGGUCCGUAGGCGU
rnacentral:rRNA from 1 species